rnacentral:rRNA from 1 species
GAUGAACGCUGGCGGCGGGCUUAACACAUGCGAGUCGAACGGUGAACACGGAGCUUGCUCUGUGUUAUCAGUGGCGAACGGGUGAGUAACACGUGAGCAACCUGCCCCUGGCGCUGGGAUAAGCGCUGGAAACGGCGACUAAUACUUGAGAUGUGAGGGGACCGCAUGGUCUGCGUUUGGAAAGAUUUUUCGGUUGGGGAUUGGCUCGCGGCCUAUCAGCUGGUUGGUGAGGUAAUGGCUCACCAAGGCGUCGACGGUUAUCCGGCCUGAGAGGGUGACCGGCCACCCUGGGCCUGAGACACGGACCAGACUCCUACGGGAGGCAGCAGUGGGGAAUCUUGUCCAAUGGGCCCAAGCCUGAUGCAGAAACCCCGCGUGAGGGAUGCCCGCCUUCGGGUUGUAAACCUCUUUUAGCAGGGAAGAAGCGAAAGUGACGGUACCUGCAGAAAAAGCGCCGGCUAACUACGUG